rnacentral:rRNA from 1 species
UACGUAGGGGGCAAGCGUUGUCCGGAUUUAUUGGGCGUAAAGAGCGUGUAGGCGGUCAGGUAGGUCCGUUGUGAAAACUCGAGGCUCAACCUCGAGACGCCGAUGGAAACCAUCUGACUAGAGUCCGGAAGAGGAGAGUGGAAUUCCUGGUGUAGCGGUGAAAUGCGCAGAUAUCAGGAAGAAACACCUAUGGCGAAGGCAGCUCUCUGGGACGGUACUGACGCUGAGACGCGAAAAGCGUGGGGGAGCGAACAGG